UGGGCUGGCCAAAAAGUUUGUUUGGGUUUUCCUGUAACAUCUUGUGGACAAACCUGAACAAACUUUCUGGCUAACCC
rnacentral:miRNA from 1 species